CUUGCUCUCUAUCUUCCUCUCUGCACUGCACCCAGUUGCUCUCUUCUCCUUUCUUCGUAUCACAAUCACAAUUACCUGCAGCUUCCAAAACUCUGCCUCAUUUACUUCUCCGUGUUCUUGGCGCCAUGGACUCCAAGCCCUCUAUGCCAGAAAAGCCGUUGCAUGUUUCCAAUUCAUCAGGUUCUCCUUCUUCUUUUUCUUCCUCGUCAUCGUCGCCUUCUUCAAAUCAUUCUGUUAUUGAUAAUUCAGUUCAGAAUUAUUCUUUAGAUGUUGCUAAUAUUAGUAGCAAUAAAGUUAGUAGUGGAAGUAGCGAUGGGGGGUUUGUGAGUGGGGAAUUGGAUUUUGAAAUGGAGACACAGAAGCCAGUGGCCCUCCAGGAAACCCCGCAAAAACUCUUUCAAUGGAGUGGUGCUGGUUCCACUUUUAUUGACCCCGUGAAAUUUCCGGCGCUGAAAAGUGAAGAGCCUGUAUUGACAGUAUCGGCGAAUGAUGUUGAUAAAUAUGUUUUAGGACAGCCAAAAGUUGGGACCUCGGAGAGGGGUGAAUUGAUUGGGUAUGGGGUUGAGGGUUUACAGUUGAGUUGGGCUCAGGGUUCUGUGGAUAAAAAAGGAAUUAAGGUUGUGGAUAAUCAAGGAAAGGAGUUUUCGGUGGAAAUGGGCGAGGUUGUGGACAAAAAUUUGGGUGAGAUAGAGUCUGACAAGCUGGGAGUGGAAGGGAGUCAAUUGGAUGCAGAAGCUGUUGAAAGGAAGAAAACUGAAGUUUAUGUUGGCAGGGCAGUUGAAGAGGGAGAAAUUUGCAGUGGUGGGAAUGAAAAAGUGGACACUGAGACUUCAGAACUGGAUAAUGAGAAGUUGGCCGAAACUGAUAGUGUGGAAUUUACUAGUGGAGGGGACUUGGUUCUGGAGGCUGUACAUGCUACUUUUCCAGGAUCGGGAGUGGCUGUCGUUGGAGAUGUGGAGGGAGGUAAGUAUUCUGAAGUUAAACGAACAGAGGUUCCAGUUGAUGGUAGUGUGCCUCGGGACAAUGGUUUUGAUAAGUUCAGUAAUGAUGUGGAAGAACCAGUUAAUGCGAAUACUGGAUCUGAGAAAAAUGUUGAAGCUAUAACUGGUUUUAAGACUGAAAUCUCAGAAGUAGAGAGUAGUGGAAGGAAAAUUGAUGUUUAUGGUUUGGGAGGGGAGGAACAUUCAGAAAUCAGGGCUGUUUUUGAUGAUCCAGUCAUAAAGGGUAGCCGGGAUAUCGUGAAAAUCAGUGUUGAAAAUACUGAAGUUGCAGGCACCACAAAUGAUUAUGAGAAAUUAGAGAAAGAAGUGGAGCCAGAAACUGAUAAAGGAAUAGAACAGAUUGAGCCUGCAGUGGAGAUAGCUACUGAUGGAUUGGAUACUGUGGCCAUUGAUCAAGUAGAUGUAGGGGAUAGAGAUGGAACUCUGGCAACUGCUUCUAUUGCGGAAACUGCACAAACAUGUGUUGCUCAUGAUGUAGAACUUAAUAUGAAUGCUGCAACAGAAAAGUUGGAAGAUGAUCUCUCAGGAAAAGCUGAUUUACCUGAUACUGCAGAAUCUAUUGCUGUUACAAAUGCGGAAUUUAAACUAAAUGCUGAAAUUGAAGAAAAUAAUGAUCUAGGUGGAGAAGGUGAGAAUGAUGGAUCAGUUACAGAUGGUGAGACUGAUGGUAUGUUUUUUGGAAGCUCUGCAGCUGCCAAACAAUUCUUGGAGGAGUUGGAGCGUGGUUCAGGUGUUGGUUCUCAUUCUGGUGCGGAGAGUUCUCGUGAUUAUUCACAGAGAAUUGAUGGUCAAAUUGUGACAGACUCAGAUGAAGAAGUGGACACUGAUGAGGAAGGUGAGGGGAAGGAACUGUUUGAUUCUGCUGCCUUGGCAGCCCUCUUGAAAGCAGCAACUAAUGCUGGCUCAGAGGGUGGCACUGUCACUGUGACCUCUCAAGAUGGAACCAGGCUCUUUUCUGUUGAGCGACCUGCAGGUUUGGGGUCCUCUCUCCGACCUGUGAAACCUGCUUCGCGACCAAAUCGUCCCAGUCUUUUUGCUUCUUCCAGUCUCACAACUGGUGGAGACUCAGAUGCCAACUUGAGUGAAGAAGAGAAACAGAAACUGGAGAAGUUGCAGCAGAUAAGAGUGAAAUUUUUGAGGCUUGUUCACAGGCUGGAUCAUUCUCCAGAGGAGUCAAUAGCUGCACAGGUUCUAUAUCGUUUGGCCCUUGUUGCAGGGAGGCAAACCAAUCAACUGUUUAGCCUUGAAGCUGCAAAGAGGACAGCUUUGCAGCUUGAAGCAGAGGGGAAGGAUGAUUUGGACUUUUCCUUGAACAUACUUGUCCUUGGGAAAACAGGUGUGGGCAAGAGUGCUACAAUAAAUUCUAUUUUUGGCGAGGAGAAGUCCCCGAUUAAUGCAUUUGAACCUGCAACUAAUUCUGUUAGAGAAAUCACUGGUGUGGUAGAUGGAGUGAAGAUCAGGGUAAUUGAUAGCCCAGGUCUCAAGUCUUCUGGUUCAGAACAAGGGUUAAACCGCAAAAUAUUGACUUCCAUAAAGAAGUUCAUGAAGAGUUGUCCCCCGGAUAUUUUCCUUUAUGUUGAUCGGCUUGACGCCCAGACCAGGGAUCUUAAUGAUCUGCCAUUGUUGAGAUCUAUCACUAGUUCUCUUGGCUCUUCAAUCUGGCGAAAUGCUGUAGUAACUCUAACCCAUGGUGCUUCGGCACCUCCAGAUGGACCUUCAGGUUCCCCUUUGAGCUAUGAGGUGUUUGUUGCUCAACGUUCCCAUGUGGUUCAGCAGUGUAUUGGGCAAGCUGUUGGUGAUUUGCGUUUGAUGAAUCCAAGUUUGAUGAAUCCUGUAUCUCUUGUAGAGAAUCAUCUCUCUUGUCGUAGGAACAGAUAUGGACAGAAGGUGCUCCCUAAUGGUCAAAGUUGGAGACCUCAGUUACUGUUGUUGUGCUACUCUAUGAAGAUUUUAUCUGAAGCAAGUUCUCUUUCUAAACCUCAAGAUCCAUUUGACCACCGGAAGCUUUUUGGUUUCCGCUCUCGUUCACCUCCCCUUCCAUACCUAUUGUCUUGGUUGUUGCAGUCCCGUUCACAUCCUAAACUCUCCACUGACCAAGGGGGUGACAAUGUUGAUUCUGACAUUGACUUGGCUGACUUGUCUGAUUCUGAUCAGGAUGAAGAAGAGGAUGAAUAUGACCAGCUCCCACCAUUCAAGCCUCUUAGGAAAACUCAGCUUGCUAAGCUUAGCAAGGAGCAGAAGAAAGCAUAUUUUGAGGAGUAUGAUUACCGUGUGAAGCUCCUUCAGAAAAAGCAAUGGAGAGAAGAGUUAAGGAGAAUGAGAGAGAUCAAGAAGAAAGGAAAGGUUGCUACAGAUGAAUAUGGUUACAAUGGAGAAGAUGUUGAUCCAGAAAAUGGAGCUCCAGCUGCAGUGCCAGUUCCAUUACCUGAUAUGGUCUUGCCACCUUCGUUUGAUGGUGAUAAUCCAGCUUAUAGGUACCGUUUUUUGGAACCAAUUUCACAGUUUCUGGCAAGGCCUGUUCUGGACACCCAUGGUUGGGACCAUGAUUGUGGGUAUGAUGGUGUCAACAUUGAACAAAGUCUAGCUGUUGCUAAUCGAUUUCCAGCAGCAGUUGCUGUUCAAGUAACCAAGGAUAAGAAAGAGUUUAGCAUCCAUUUGGAUUCUUCAAUCUCUGCAAAGCAUGGAGAGGAUGGAUCAAGCAUGGCAGGGUUUGACAUUCAAAAUGUUGGGAAGCAACUUGCCUACAUCUUUAGAGGUGAGACUAAAUUCAAAAAUUUCAAGAAGAACAAGACAGCUGCUGGGGCAUCUGUUACAUUUUUGGGCCAAAAUGUGGCCACUGGUUUCAAACUUGAGGAUCAAAUUGCACUCGGAAAGCGCCUGAUGUUGGUUGGUAGCACUGGGACUGUCCUUUCUCAGGGUGAUUCAGCAUAUGGAGCCAAUUUGGAAGUUCGGCUAAGGGAAGCAGAUUAUCCAAUUGGGCAGGAUCAAUCGUCCCUGGGCUUGUCUUUAGUUAAGUGGAGAGGGGACUUGGCGCUGGGGGCAAACCUUCAAUCCCAGUUUUCCAUUGGACGAAGUUCUAAGGUAGCCAUUCGUGCAGGAUUGAACAACAAGCUUAGUGGCCAAAUUACUGUUCGAACAAGCAGCUCUGAACAGUUUCAGAUUGCACUUGUGGGUCUUCUUCCGAUUGCAAUGUCGAUCUAUAAAAGCAUUAGGCCAGGGGUUAGUGACAAUUACCCUAUGUACUAGAUCCUCCUUCCAUUUUUUUUCAUGGAUGCCAUUGUGUUACAUUCAUUCAGCAUCAUAGAUUAGAUCAUGCAUUGAGAUUGAUUUAGUUUUCAAUAAUGCUGAAUUUUCUUUCAUGUAGAACUAAUUGCUCUUAUGAGGUUCAUGUUAUAUUGCGUGAUGAAAUGUACUAAAUAUGAGAUGUAUUCAUGAGCAAAUCAUGAUAUUUUUGUUGUUUCUUUUGCACUUGUUUAAGUAUGGUGGUAAUUACAUGCAUGCUAUUGGUGCACCAUUGCCCAGUUUUGUCUCGACAAAGUAUAACCUGAUUGAGAGGUAGACUGUUUUUUUAAUGAUGCUUUUGUAAUGGAUACUGGCUUGUUGGGUCAAUGACUGAAACAGUACUCUUGAUUUCUCUUGUAAGAAUGGGCAUGUAAAGCCUUUCGGAGAGAAGCUUCAAAU
rnacentral:misc_RNA from 1 species